rnacentral:lncRNA from 1 species
UUCCUUUUGUGUCAUAACUCGGUAUGAUUGUGUGAAUUGCAAGAUGUGCAAUAAAACUAAGUUUAGGGUGGAAAUCUUGAAAGAGAAGGCAAGUGCAUAAGAUGAGAUCAUACAAAAAGAAAAAUAGUAUGUAUUUUCUAUAAAAUAAAAAAAAAAUAAAAAAAAAAGAAAAAAGAAAAGAAAAACAAAAGAGAAAAAUGCACUUGCCGAGACCUUAGAUUCUAACAGAUAUAAAAUGCUCGAAAAAUUUGAGUAGAAAAAGAGUCAAAAGAGUGAAAUUAACCCCCAGAGUAUAUGUGAUGCACAGAAAAAAGAGAAAGAAAAAUCACACAAC